rnacentral:rRNA from 1 species
UACAGAGGUCCCAAGCGUUGUUCGGAUUCAUUGGGCGUAAAGGGUGCGUAGGCGGCGCGGUAAGUCGGGUGUGAAAACUCGGGGCUUAACCCCGGGCCUGCAGUGGGUACGGGCAGACUAGAGUGCGGUAGGGGAGACUGGAAUUCCUGGUGUAGCGGUGAAAUGCGCAGAUAUCAGGAGGAACACCGGUGGCGAAGGCGGGUCUCUGGGCCGUAACUGACGCUGAGGAGCGAAAGCGUGGGGAGCGAACAGG